rnacentral:rRNA from 1 species
GCUGUGAAGCAUAUUCUUCGAUAUCUAGCUCACACAUCAACACUUGGAUUAUGGUAUCCCAAGGGCUCUUCAUUUGAUCUCAUUGGAUAUUCAGACUCUGACUAUGCUGGCGAUCGCGUGGACCGCAAGUCAACGUCAGGCACAUGCCAUUUCCUCGGACGAUCUUUGGUCUGUUGGUCCUCGAAGAAACAGAACUGCGUAUCACUCUCCACUUCAGAAGCUGAGUACAUUGCUGCUGGGUCGUGCUAUGCUCAAUUACUAUGGAUGAAGCAAACACUCAAGGACUAUGGCAUCAAUGUGAAGAAUGUGCCUUUCUACUGCGACAAUGAGAGCGCUAUCAAGAUUGCUCAUAGCCCAAUUCAGCACUCGAAGACAAAGCACAUCCAGAUUCGUCAUCAUUUUCUUCAUGAUCAUGUGUUGAAGGGCAAUAUCUCCAUCUGUCAUGCAAGCACUGAAGAUCAGCUAGCUGAUAUUUUCACUAAGCCCUUGGAUGAGAGGAGAUUUAGCAAGUUGCGGUGUGAGCUAAAUAUCCUAGAAUCUUCGAAUGUUCUCUGA